UGUAAGCGUAUACCAAAGUUGUUGCAGUUAAAACGCUCGUAGUCGGAAUUUGGCAGUUCCGGAAGUGUGCACGUCGUGUGCGCACUUUGCGGGGACUGCUUUUGUGGUCUUGCGUAGGAUGAGGCACUUUCAUUAGUGAACGUCCUCACGCAACCACUCUUUACUGUGAGAAAAUCAGAGUGCUCAAAGCAGGCAUUUGCCGUGAAUGUAUUAGCAUGGAAUAAUAGAAUAGGACUCGGUUCUAUUUUGUUGGUUUGUUGGGACUGAGUAAUGAUUAAGAGGGACAGUUGGGGGCAUUUGUAUUCCGGCGCUAGAGGUGAAAUUCUUAGAUUGCCGGAAGACAAACUGCUGCGAAAGCGUCCGCCAAGGAUGUUUUCAUUGA
rnacentral:rRNA from 1 species